CCUACGGAAGUCAGCAGUGAGGAAUAUUGGUCAAUGGACGAGAGUCUGAACCAGCCAAGUAGCGUGAAGGAUGACUGCCCUAUGGGUUGUAAACUUCUUUUAUAAAGGAAUAAAACGAGGCACGUGUGCCUUUUUGCAUGUACUUUAUGAAUAAGGAUCGGCUAACUCCGUUCCAGCAGCCGCGGUAAUACGGAGGAUCCGAGCGUUAUCCGGAUUUAUUGGGUUUAAAGGGAGCGUAGAUGGGUUGUUAAGUCAGUUGUGAAAGUUUGGGGCUCAACCGUAAAAUUGCAAUUGAUACGGGCAGUCUUGAGGGCGCGAAGGGUAGGCGGAAGGCGUGGUGUAGCGGUGAAAUGCAUAGAUAUCACGCAGAACUCCGAUAGCGAAGGCAGCCUACCGGCGCGCAACUGACGCUCAUGCACGAAAGCGUGGGUAUCGAACAGGAUUAGAUACCCCAGUAGUC
rnacentral:rRNA from 1 species